rnacentral:rRNA from 1 species
AGAGUUUGAUCCUGGCUCAGAAUCAACGCUGGCGGCGUGCCUAACACAUGCAAGUCGAACGCGAAAGCGGCUUCGGCCGCAAGUAGAGUGGCAAACGGGUGAGUAACGCGUGGGUGACCUGCCUUCGAGUGGGGGAUAACGCUUCGAAAGGGGCGCUAAUACCGCAUAACAUCCCGUCUUUGGAAAGAUGGUGAUCAAAGCUGGGGAUCGCAAGACCUGGCGCUUGAUGAGGGGCCCGCGUCCGAUUAGCUUGUUGGUGGGGUAACGGCUCACCAAGGCGACAAUCGGUAGCCGGCCUGAGAGGGCGUACGGCCACACUGGGACUGAGACACGGCCCAGACUCCUACGGGAGGCAGCAGUGGGGAAUUGUUCGCAAUGGGCGCAAGCCUGACGACGCAACGCCGCGUGGAGGACGAAAACCUUCGGGUCGUAAACUCCUGUCGAGUGGGACGAAACUACCUGGGUUAAUACCCUGGGUGGCUGACGGUACCGCUAAAGGAAGCCCCGGCUAACUCCGUGCCAGCAGCCGCGGUAAUACGGGGGGGGCAAGCGUUGUUCGGAUUUACUGGGCGUAAAGAGCUCGUAGGCGGCUUGUUUAGUCGGACGUGAAAUCCCUCGGCUCAACUGAGGAACUGCGUCCGAUACUGGC